GGUCUUAAAAUUGGAGAAAGGUGGUCUCUUUGGAAAUGGCAUCAAAUGGAACUUUACCAAGUUUUUGGUAAACAAAGAAGGGAAGGUUGUGGAGAGAUAUGCUCCCGUGACAGCACCUCUCAAAAUUGAGAAAGACAUCCAGAAUCUAUUGGAAUCUUCUUGAGUAUCAAGGAUCUACAGACAGAAGACAUGGGGCGGGUUAAAGAAAACAUAGGGAAGAAAGUGAAAAAGAAGAUUAUGAAGAAGAAGCAAAAAUUCCAACGAGGAAGAAAAAGGAUAUGAAGAAGAGUAGCAAGGACAUACGAAAUUUUAGAAAUUUGUUUAGGGCUUAGGAUAGUGACUUGGCCAAUUGUAAACUCUAGGUUACUAAAUCAAUUAGUUUUUUUAUAUCU